GUGCAGAAAUAAUAUUUCUAACGAUAUUAGAAAUAUAAUAAUAGAUCUUCAAUUUCAAAACUUUAUCUGAAACCAACUUUAAAAUCCUAAUUCCCAUGAUUACGGCCUGAAUGGACCCUCCACUAGUGUCGAACAGCUCGAAGUCACCUUUAUUCAGACUCUUUAUUUUCUGUAGAUCCUGCAACGAUUUACAAAGGUGUGAGCCA
rnacentral:lncRNA from 1 species